AUUGGCUAAAGCUUUUCUGAAAAGAAAACAUUUUCCCCGGAAGUUCUAAUAAUCACCAUUUGCAAAAUCAAUAGAGGCUUAGAAGCCGCGUCCUGUGGAGGGAGGGGAGGUGGAGCCGGAGGAUAGAGCAGAGAGGCUAGAAGUCAGCUUGGCUUCUUAGCUACCGUGUGUGUAGGAUCAUACAUAGAGUCACCCUGGGCAGAUAUUCUUGCCUUAAAAACAUGCAUAGUAGCUGAGUGGUGGUGUCUCAUGCCUUUAAUCCAGCACUUUGGAAGCAGAGGCCAGCCUGUUCUACAAAGUGAGUUCCAGGACAGCCAGGACAGUUACACAGAGAAACCCUGUCUUGAAAAACAAAUCAUCAAAACAAAACAAAACAAACAAACAAAGCAGACGUGGUAAUACUCUUCAAAGGACGGCCAAAUGGCCCAGAAUAGGGGCCACUGUGAAACCAAAGACUAGACUGCAAAGGACCAUCAAGGAGCAAGCUAGCCCCACCCAGGAGCCUGUCACAGCAUGUGAUUAUCUGUAUCAGCACCAUCUUGUCUACUGGACCACAGAGAGACCCUGGGGCACCUUCAGCUCAUCUCUGGAUCCUAGCUGGCACCACAGCACCUGGCUUGGAUGAGGCAAUGGGUGUCAGGAGCCAUCAACAGUGCCUGCAGCUAACACAGAAGAGCCUACUGUGCACCAGGCUCUGUGCCGACACGUCACCUCAGCAUUCCUACUAAUUCUUGGAGGGUACUACCUACAUUUUACUCUAGAGGGAACAGGGACACAACAAAGAAAAUUGCAAAGGUCAUAAGAGAAUUAAGAGAUAAUUCAAACUCUGGAAGUUUUCCUCCAUAUUCUUUAUUUCAGACAAUAGUGGUGGGGUUCAGAACAUGCUACCCCAAAACACAUAUGUCACCUUAGCAUGUGAGGAAAUUAGAGAAGCAGGAAGACUUUCUGAUCCCCACUCGCCUUGCUUGCAGAAUUCUCCAUCUCUUCUCUAAAGUAAGUCAUAGCAUCCCUACUCUGGGGUGGGGUGGGGUGGGGUGGGGUGGGGGUGUCUUUCUCUAAGACAGGAUAGAAACACAAAGACACUUGGAGGACCAUGAGAAGGAAAAGGAACCCUUCAUCUUGGAGACUAGUUUAAGCCUCUUUCCAUAGAGAAGGUAGAGUUUCAGUGCAAUUAACAAUCGCUUAAGGGCUUUCUCCUGACCCAGCUAUUAAGUCUGGAGUUUCCUAGGAAUCUCACCAGAAACCCUGGAUACCGGUACAUAUUAAAACUGCUUGUGCAACCUAGUGGCUCCUGGUUUUACUUUG
rnacentral:lncRNA from 1 species